AUUGAACGCUGGCGGCAGGCUUAACACAUGCAAGUCGAGCGGAGAUGAGGUGCUUGCACCUUAUCUUAGCGGCGGACGGGUGAGUAAUGCUUAGGAAUCUGCCUAUUAGUGGGGGACAACAUUCCGAAAGGAAUGCUAAUACCGCAUACGUCCUACGGGAGAAAGCAGGGGAUCUUCGGACCUUGCGCUAAUAGAUGAGCCUAAGUCGGAUUAGCUAGUUGGUGGGGUAAAGGCCUACCAAGGCGACGAUCUGUAGCGGGUCUGAGAGGAUGAUCCGCCACACAGGGAUAGACCGACGGCCCAGACUCCUACGGGAGGCAGCAGUGGGAAAUAUUGGACAAUCGGGGGAACCCGGAUCGAGCCAUGCCGCGUGACUCAAGAAGGCCUUAUGGUUGUAAAGCACUUUAGGCGAGGAGGAGGGCCUGUUGGUUAAUACCCAAGAGGAGUUGACGUUACUCGCAGAAUACGCACCGGCAAACACUGUGCCAGCCGCCGCGGUAA
rnacentral:rRNA from 1 species